rnacentral:lncRNA from 1 species
UAGCACACUUCUAUUAAGCUUUAAGAAUAUUUUAUUAAGUCAUAAGAGGGGUAAGAUUGGAAUACAUACAUGUUCGCAACUGCAAAUCUGAUAAAAGUGUUCUAUUAAGCCUUAAGAGUGUUCUAUUCUACUAUAACAAAGGAGUGUUGACAAUCAUAAAGCUAGCUAUUAAGAGUGUUCUAUUUAACCUUUACAACUGUUCUAUUAUGGCAUAAAACUGUUAAAAAGCCUACAACUGAUAGCAGUGUUCUGUGAAGCUUUAAGAAUGUUCUAUUAAGUCAUAAGAGGGUAAGAUUACAAAUGCAUACAUAUUCGCAACUAUAAACCUGAUAAAAGUAUUCUAUUAAGUCCUAGAAGUGUUCUACUAUGACAAAAGAGUGUUUACAACCAUAAAGCUAAUAAUAGUGUUCUAUUAAGCUGUAAGAGUGUUCUUUUAUGCCAUAAGAGUGUCAGAUUGUCAAGCAUAUAUGUUCGCAAACACAAAUUCUAUAAAAGUGGUCUACUAAGAGUGUUCUUAUAAGCUCUAAGACUAAACCCUUUAUGGUAUAAGAGUGA